rnacentral:rRNA from 1 species
UAGCUAGUUGGUGAGGUAAAGGCUUACCAAGGCGACGAUCUGUAGCGGGUCUGAGAGGAUGAUCCGCCACACUGGAACUGAGACACGGUCCAGACUCCUACGGGAGGCAGCAGUGGGGAAUUUUGGACAAUGGGGGCAACCCUGAUCCAGCCAUGCCGCGUGAGUGAAGAAGGCCUUCGGGUUGUAAAGCUCUUUCGGCCGGGAAGAAAUCGCAUGGGCCAAUACCCUGUGUGGAUGACGGUACCGGAAUAAGAAGCACCGGCUAACUACGUGCCAGCAGCCGCGGUAAUACGUAGGGUGCGAGCGUUAAUCGGAAUUACUGGGCGUAAAGCGUGCGCAGGCGGUUUUGUAAGACAGGCGUGAAAUCCCCGGGCUUAACCUGGGAACUGCGUUUGUGACUGCAAGGCUAGAGUACGGCAGAGGGGGGUGGAAUUCCACGUGUAGCAGUGAAAUGCGUAGAGAUGUGGAGGAACACCAAUGGCGAAGGCAGCCCCCUGGGUCGAUACUGACGCUCAUGCACGAAAGCGUGGGUAGCAAACAGGAUUAGAUACCCUGGUAGUCCACGCCCUAAACUAUGUCAACUAGGUGUUGGGUGGGUAAAACCAUUUAGUACCGUAGCUAACGCGUGAAGUUGACCGCCUGGGGAGUACGGCCGCAAGGUUAAAACUCAAAGGAAUUGACGGGGACCCGCACAAGCGGUGGAUGAUGUGGAUUAAUUCGAUGCAACGCGAAAAACCUUACCUACCCUAGACAUGCCAGGAACUUGCCAGAGAUGGCUUGGUGCCCGAAAGGGAGCCUGGACACAGGUGCUGCAUGGCUGUCGUCAGCUCGUGUCGUGAGAUGUUGGGUUAAGUCCCGCAACGAGCGCAACCCUUGUCGUUAAUUGCCAUCAUUUAGUUGGGCACUUUAACGAGACUGCCGGUGACAAACCGGAGGAAGGUGGGGAUGACGUCAAGUCCUCAUGGCCCUUAUGGGUAGGGCUUCACACGUCAUACAAUGGUCGGUACAAAGGGUUGCCAAGCCGCGAGGCGGAGCCAAUCCCAGAAAGCCGAUCGUAGUCCGGAUUGCAGGCUGCAACUCGCCUGCAUGAAGUCGGAAUCGCUAGUAAUCGUGGAUCAGCAUGUCACGGUGAAUACGUUCCCGGGUCUUGUACACACCGCCCGUCACACCAUGGGAGCGUGUUCCGCCAGAAGUAGGUAGCCUAACCGCAAGGGGGGCGCUUACCACGGCGGGGUUCGUGACUGGGGUGAAGUCGAAACAAGGUAGCCGUAGGGGAACCUGCGGCUG